rnacentral:rRNA from 1 species
AGCGAACGCUGGCGGUAGGCCUAACACAUGCAAGUCGAACGGCAGCACAGUAAUAGUUUGCUCUUACCGGUGGCGAGUCGCGGACGGGUGAGGAAUACAUCGGAAUCUUCUUUUUCGUGGGGGAUAGCGUAGGGAAACUUACGCUAAUACAGCAUACGACCCAGGGGUGAAAGCAGGGGACCUUCGUACCUUGCGCGAUUGAAUGAGCCGAUGUCGGAUUAGCUAGUUGGCGGGGUAAAGGCCCACCAAGGCGCCGAUCCGUAGCUGGUCUGAGAGGAUGAGCAGCCACAUUGGAACGGAGACACGGUCCAGACUCCUACAGGAGGCAGCAGUGAGGAAUAUUGGAGAAUGGGAGGAAGCCUGAUCCAGACAUACCGCGUGAUUUAGGAAGACCUUCGGGUUGGAGAGCCCUUUUGUUGGGAAAGAAAACCCGCAGGUUUCUGCCCCGCUGUUCUGAGGGUCCCCAGAGAAUGAGACCCGGGUAACUUCAUG